UACAGAGGGUGCGAGCGUUAAUCGGAAUUACUGGGCGUAAAGCGUGCGUAGACGGUAGCGUAAGUCAGCUGUGAAAGCCCCGGGCUCAACCUGGGAAUUGCAUUUGAGACUGCUCUGCUCGGGUGCGGAAGAGGGAAGCGGAAUUUCCGGUGUAGCGGUGAAAUGCGUAGAUAUCGGAAGGAACACCAGUGGCGAGAGCGGCUUCCUGGUCCGACACCGACGUUCAGGCACGAAAGCGUGGGGAGCAAACAGG
rnacentral:rRNA from 1 species